rnacentral:rRNA from 2 species
UACGAGCUGUGCAAACGUUACUCGGAAUCAUUGGGCUUAAAGGGUGCGUAGGCGGCCUCGCAAGUCGGGUGUGAAAUGUCCUGGCUCAACCAGGGAAUUGCGCUCGAAACUGCGGGGCUCGAGGGAGAUAGAGGCAAGCGGAACUCAGGGUGGAGCGGUGAAAUGUGUUGAUAUCCUGGGGAACACCGGUGGCGAAAGCGGCUUGCUGGGUCUCUUCUGACGCUGAGGCACGAAAGCCAGGGUAGCGAACGGG